UACGGAGGGGGCUAGCGUUGUUCGGAAUUACUGGGCGUAAAGCGCGCGUAGGCGGACCUGCAAGUCGGGGGUGAAAGCCCGAGGCUCAACCUCGGAACUGCCUUCGAUACUGCGGGUCUCGAGUCCGGGUGAGGUGAGUGGAAUUCCUAGUGUAGAGGUGAAAUUCGUAGAUAUUCGCAAGAACACCAGUGGCGAAGGCGGCUCACUGGCCCGGUACUGACGCUGAGGUGCGAAAGCGUGGGGAGCAAACAGG
rnacentral:rRNA from 1 species